UACAGAGGGUGCGAGCGUUAAUCGGAAUUACUGGGCGUAAAGCGCGCGUAGGCGGCUUUUCAAGUCGAUUGUGAAAUCCCCGGGCUUAACCUGGGAAUGGCGAUGGAUACUGGCGAGCUAGAGUACGGUAGAGGAGAGUGGAAUUCCCGGUGUAGCAGUGAAAUGCGUAGAGAUCGGGAGGAACAUCAGUUGCGAAGGCGGCUCUCUGGACCAGUACUGACGCUGAGGCACGAAAGCGUGGGGGAGCAAACAGG
rnacentral:rRNA from 1 species